UACAGAGGGUGCUAGCGUUGUUCGGAAUCACUGGGCGUAAAGGGCGCGUAGGCGGCCGAUCAAGUCGGGGGGUGAAAGCCUGUGGCUCAACCACAGAAUUGCCUUCGAUACUGUUUGGCUUGAGACCGGAAGAGGUAAGUGGAACUGCGAGUGUAGAGGUGAAAUUCGUAGAUAUUCGCAAGAACACCAGUGGCGAAGGCGGCUUACUGGACACA
rnacentral:rRNA from 1 species